GACGAACGCUGGCGGCGUGCUUAACACAUGCAAGUCGAACGGUGAAGCAGGAGCUUGCUCUUGUGGAUCAGUGGCGAACGGGUGAGUAACACGUGAGCAACCUGCCCCUGACUCUGGGAUGAGCGCUGGAAACGGCGUCUAAUACUGGAUAUGUGAUGUGACCGCAUGGUCUGCAUCUGGAAAGAAUUUCGGUUGGGGAUGGGCUCGCGGCCUAUCAGCUUGUUGGUGAGGUAAUGGCUCACCAAGGCGUCGACGGGUAGCCGGCCUGAGAGGGUGACCGGCCACACUGGGACUGAGACACGGCCCAGACUCCUACGGGAGGCAGCAGUGGGGAAUAUUGCACAAUGGGCGGAAGCCUGAUGCAGCAACGCCGCGCGAGGGAUGACGGCCUUCGGGUUGUAAACCUCUUUUAGCAGGGAAGAAGCGAAAGUGACGGUACCUGCAGAAAAAGCACCGGCUAACUACGUGCCAGCCGCCGCAGUAA
rnacentral:rRNA from 1 species